CAGUGAUAAACUGGAGGAAGGUGGGGAUGACGUCAAGUCAUCAUGGCCCUUACGAGUAGGGCUACACACGUGCUACAAUGGCAUAUACAAAGAGAAGCGACCUCGCGAGAGCAAGCGGACCUCAUAAAGUAUGUCGUAGUCCGGAUUGGAGUCUGCAACUCGACUCCAUGAAGUCGGAAUCGCUAGUAAUCGUGGAUCAGAAUGCCACGGUGAAUACGUUCCCGGGCCUUGUACACACCGCCCGUCACACCAUGGGAGUGGGUUGCAAAAGAAGUAGGUAGCUUAACCUUCGGGAGGGCGCUUACCACUUUGUGAUUCAUGACUGGGGUGAAGUCGUAACAAGGUAACCGUAGGGGAACCUGCGGUUGGAUCACCUCCUU
rnacentral:rRNA from 1 species